AAUCAACGCUGGCGGCGUGCCUCAGACAUGCAAGUCGAACGCGAAAGUCCCCUUCGGGGGAUGAUUAGAGUGGCGCACGGGUGAGUAACACGUAGGUAAUCUACCUUCGAGUGGGGAAUAACUCAGGGAAACUUGAGCUAAUACCGCAUAAUGCAGCGGCACCACAUGGUGACAGUUGUUAAAGCAUUUAUGCGCUUGAAGAGGAGCCUGCGGCAGAUAGCUAGUUGGUAAGGUAAUGGCUUACCAAGGCUACGAUCUGUAACCGGCCUGAGAGGGCGGACGGUCACACUGACACUGAAUAACGGGUCAGACUCCUACGGGAGGCAGCAGUCGGGAAUUUUGGGCAAUGGGCGAAAGCCUGACCCAGCAACGCCGCGUGAAGGAUGAAA
rnacentral:rRNA from 1 species